UACGUAGGGGGCAAGCGUUGUCCGGAUUUAUUGGGCGUAAAGAGCGUGUAGGCGGCCAGACAGGUCCGUUGUGAAAACUCGAGGCUCAACCUCGAGACGCCGAUGGAAACCGUCUGGCUAGAGUCCGGAAGAGGGGAGUGGAAUUCCUGGUGUAGCGGUGAAAUGCGCAGAUAUCAGGAAGAACACCCGUGGCUAAGGCGGCUCUCUAGUACGGUACUGACGCUGAGACGCGAAAGCGUGGGGAGCGAACAGU
rnacentral:rRNA from 1 species